GCUGAAGGCAUCUAAGCGGGAAACUCGUCUGAAGAUAAGGUAUCCCGGAGGCUAGACCUCCCUGAAGGGUCGUUCGAGACCAGGACGUUGAUAGGCUGGGUGUGGAAGUGCAGUAAUGCAUGUAGCUAACCAGUACUAAUUGCCCGUGCGGCUUGAUCCUAUAACUCAG
rnacentral:rRNA from 1 species